rnacentral:lncRNA from 1 species
GACGACUAACCACUGCAACCAUGAUAGAGGCGUCCCCUCCCACCGGGCCAGGAGGAGGUUUGAACAGACAUGCGGCACCACAUGGGUACAUUUUGGGCUAAGGACGCACCUCCUCUUCACUAAGCCCCACUUUAGUUUGGGGCUUAAAGCCGUCUCUGGAGUGGUCAGAGGCUGCCCCGGCCCUCUCCCUCCCAGGAUGGAUUCCGGCCUCCUCGGGCUGGCCAUGGAAUGUUGUGCGGCCGGUUGCCCCGGCAACCAAAGCCUGCUAGGUGGCUGCCUUCUGGAGCGCAGAGCCCGCUGCCACACGGCCCUCCCUCAGAAACCCCCAGGGCCCCCUGGACUAGUGCAAGACUCCAUCCAUGGAGAGAAAGCCCAGAGUAAUUGCGGGGACAACGGCGGCAUCCUGGGAGGAGUAUUUCAGAGCAGCCCUGCAAGAGAAACUGCGAGCCCCUGCACCCCCAACCCCAGAGGCUCUGGAUGCCAGCCUCCUCCUGGAGCCCCCGCAGGGAGGUCCAACAGCCUUCCAAACACAGCGUGGCCGCAGGCAGGAGCGGAUCUCCCCUGUGCCCCAUCCAGACUUCCACCAGCAUCCCCUUCCGGCUCGGAGGUCACCUUUCUCUCCUUUCCCGCCCCCCAUCACUGGAUCAGCUCUGCUCGCACACUGUAGCCAGAACCUACCCACCCCCCCCUACAGCCACCUGACCACAGCCACACUAUCUCUGUGUUAGCCCGGAACCCUGUCACCAGUCUCCCGGCGGCUGCCCGCCUCUCUUACGGCCCUCGCCCCCCAGCAGCAGCCUCAAGCUCCUCCGCAAACCAAGGUCCUUCUCUCGGGGUCUCAGCCCUGGCUGUUCUCUGCAGGUGCCACAUGCCCACUUGCCCUUGCCCUUCAGGUCUCUGCCCAGAGGGCCUCAGAGUCUCCUCCGAGAGACUUUUUAAACUCCCUGUUGAAAGAUUUCCUUUUGGGGCGCUUAGGUGGCUCAGUCGGUUAAAUCUCCUACUCUUGAUUUCGGCUCGGGUUCAUAAUAUGGAGCCCCGUGUCAGGCUCUGCACUGACAGCUCAGAGCCCACUUUGGAUUCUCCCUCUCUCUCCCCUUCCCUGACUUGUAUGCGUGCUCUCUCUCUCUCUCUCUCAAAAUAAGUAAAUAAACUUAAAAAAAAGAUUCUUCCUCCUUCUGCCCCUCCACCACUUGUGUGCUCACUUUCUCUCUUUCAAAACAAAAAGGUGGGGGGGGGGCGCCUGGGUGGCUCAGUUGGUUAGACAACUACCUUUGGCUCAGGUCAUGAUCUCAUGGUUUGUGGGUUCGGGGCCCGCAUCAGGCUCUGUGCUGUCAGCUUGGAGCCCGCUUCUGAUCCUCUGCCCCUCCCCUCUCAUUUGCUCUCCAUCUCUUUCUAUCUCAAAAAUAAAUAAAUAAUAAAA